rnacentral:rRNA from 1 species
CAAUAGCGUAUAUUAAAGUUGUUGCAGUUAAAAAGCUCGUAGUUGGAUUUCGGGGCAGCCUGGCUGGUCCGCCGCAAGGCGAGUACUGGUCAGCCGCCCUUCCUCUCGAAAGCCCCGACUGCUCUUUAUUGCAGUGGUCGGGUAGUUCGGGACGUUUACUUUGAAAAAAUUAGAGUGUUCAAGGCAGGCCUACGCCUGAAUACAUUAGCAUGGAAUAAUGGAAGAGGACCUCGGUCCUAUUUUGUUGGUUUCCAGGACCGAAGUAAUGAUUAAGAGGGACAGUUGGGGGCAUUCGUAUUUAAUUGUCAGAGGUGAAAUUCUCGGAUUUAUGAAAGACGAACAACUGCGAAAGCAUUUGCCUAGGAUGUUUUCAUUAA